CGUGCACUGGUGGGGUCCCUUGGCCUGGCCUGCGCCCUCUCAAAAUUCGGGACCCCUCAGGGAUGUUGGACUGCCAGUUUUGGCCCGAUCCCUGCAGGCCAGGCCGAGGGACCCCACCAGUGCACG
rfam:Myotis brandtii contig284843, whole genome shotgun sequence.